rnacentral:rRNA from 1 species
AAUAUUGGACAAUGGGCGCAAGCCUGAUCCAGCAAUGCCGCGUGAGUGAUGAAGGCCUUCGGGUUGUAAAGCUCUUUGGGCGGGGACGAUGAUGACGGUACCCGCAGAACAAGCCCCGGCUAACUUCGUGCCAGCAGCCGCGGUAAUACGAAGGGGGCGAGCGUUGUUCGGAAUUACUGGGCGUAAAGGGCGCGUAGGCGGCCAUCCGCGUCAGGCGUGAAAGCCCCGGGCUCAACCUGGGAACGGCGCUUGGGACGGGGUGGCUGGAGUUCGGGAGAGGAGCGUGGAAUUCCCAGUGUAGAGGUGAAAUUCGUAGAUAUUGGGAAGAACACCGGUGGCGAAGGCGGCGCUCUGGACCGAUACUGACGCUGAGGCGCGAAAACGUGGGGAGCAAA